CGAGGCGAACCGGGGAAACUGAAACAUCUCAGUACCCCGAGAAAAAGAAAUCAACCGAGAUUCCCCCAGUAGCGGCGAGCAAACGGGGAGCAGCCCAGAGUCAACAUCAAUAUUUACCACAGGAGAAGGGUCUGGAAAAGCCGGCAAUAAAGGGUGAUAGCCCCGUAUCUAAAGCUGUAAGUGUUGUGAACUCGAAGAGUAGGGCGGGACACGUGUUAUCCUGUCUGAAUAUGGGGGGACCAUCCUCCAAGGCUAAAUACUCCUGACUGACCGAUAGUGAACCAGUACCGUGAGGGAAAGGCGAAAAGAACCCCGGCGAGGGGAGUGAAAUAGAACCUAAAACCGUGUACGUACAAGCAGUAGGAGCACCCGAAAGGGUGUGACUGCGUACCUUUUGUAUAAUGAGUCAGCGACUUAUAUUCUGUAGCAAGGUUAACCGCAUAGGGGAGCCGUAGGGAAACCGAGUCUUAACUGGGCGUUAAGUUGCAGGGUAUAGACCCGAAACCCGGUGAUCUAGCCAUAAGCAGGUUGAAG
rnacentral:rRNA from 1 species